rnacentral:rRNA from 1 species
GACAGAGGAUGCAAGCGUUGUCCGGAAUUAUUGGGCGUAAAGAGCUCGUAGGCGGUUUGUCGCGUCUGCUGUGAAAACCCGAGGCUCAACCUCGGGCCUGCAGUGGGUACGGGCAGACUAGAGUGCGGUAGGGGGAGAUUGGAAUUCCUGGUGUAGCGGUGGAAUGCGCAGAUAUCAGGAGGAACACCAAUGGCGAAGGCAGAUCUCUGGGCCGUAACUGACGCUGAGGAGCGAAAGCAUGGGGAGCGAACAGG